UUGUGAGGAAAUAUUUCUUGGUACAUAGAAUACAAGGAUCACCAUGAAUAUCUUAUUUGGUUUCCCCAAAUAAGAAGCCCCGAAAGACUUGCUCCCGCCCUGCCCCGUCCAGCAGACGUCAUCAGGUUAGGGCUGAAACGAAUGACGCUCCUUCGCGUGAGCCAGCCUACCCUGGCGCGUAUUACAGCUUGAUCGAUUGGAAGGGUCCCACGCGCUUGUUACAUAAACAGCACUUGUGUACAUGAGCUCUUCCAGAAAAAGAAAAUAGGAACAAGAAGGUUGCCAUACUUCAAGGAAUGGUGUGACAUACCUGAGAUGAUUUUCAGCUACUAAGAUCUGCCAACAGGAAUCUAAAAAUGGCCAGAAGCCACCUGCAAAGCAAAGAAGAUUGAGAACACGUUGGUGAGACUGGAGAAACAACCUACCAGCCUCUGAAUAAGCAAGUAAAAACAAACAACUUGGAGAUUCUUAUACUUCUGACUAUGACAACUCAUGCUUACUACAAAAGAAGGGGGAGUGAAGCUUCUUCAGCCUCACUGUUAUUUCUUUGUGAAUGUACAGCAAGAUUGGCCUUUUCUGAUUUUUCUGGAAAUCUUAAAGGAAGAAUAUUGUAAACUUCCAUCGAUUGUAAGGAGCUCAUGUUCUUGUUAAAAACCUCUCAGAUUCUUUGAAAAACUUCUCAUAAAUAAUAAUUAUGGCUCUGCAAGCUUACACACAUUUUCUGGAGUGCAAGACCCACAGCAUAGUCUGAAGGCCUGUGAUGAAGUAAACUUGCUGAAGCUAAGCGGGUCUGGGCUGGGCAUGGUGAGUGCCUAGAUAGGAGACUGUCUGGAAACCCUAAGUACUGUAUGUUGCCUUGAGCUCCCUGGGGGAAAGGCAGAAAGUAAAUGUAUGUAACAAACAAUCUCAAUGAGACUUACUUUCAGGUAAACAUGCAUGGAAUUGGGCUGCACGGAACAUGUGACAUACAUACAAAUGAAUUUAU